rnacentral:misc_RNA from 1 species
CAAAUCUUUGAGAGUGCUGCGUUUACGUAGUAUCUCACAUUAGCACAAGGCCGCAAGGUCUUGAUGUUUACGCUUGUUUGUUUGACAGAGUUAGUUGAGACACAAAUAAAGA